GGCGGUGAAGCCAUCUGGUAAUGGAUGGUGGAGCGUAUAGAAAAGCAAAUGUAGGCAUAAGUAACGAUAAGGCGGGUGAGAAACCCGCCCACCGAUAGACUAAGGUUUCCUGAUCAACGCUAAUCGGAUCAGGGUUAGUCGGGACCUAAGGCGAACCCGAAGGGGGUAGUCGAUGGACAAUUGGUUAAUAUUCCAAUACUGGCAUAUGCAGCGAUGGGGUGACGGAGUAGUGAAAGAUCCGCGAACUGACGGAAUAGUUCGUUAAAGGGAGUAGGUAUUGGUUUGGUAGGCAAAUCCGCCAGACUAGCUGAACCUGAUAGUACCACAAUGCUUCGGCAGCGUGGAUAGUGAUCCUAAUCAGACUUCCAAGAAAAACCUCUAAGUAAUGUAUAUGGCACCCGUACCGUAAACCGACACAGGUAGUCAAGGAGAGAAUCCUAAGGUGCUCGAGUGAUCCGUGGCUAAGGAACUAGGCAAAAUGGCCCUGUAACUUCGGGAGAAGGGGCGCCUCCUCUGUAAAGAGAGGCCGCAGUGAAAAGGCCCAGGCGACUGUUUAGCAAAAACACAUGGCUUUGCGAAAUCGAAAGAUAAAGUAUAAGGCCUGACACCUGCC
rnacentral:rRNA from 1 species